UACGGAGGAUCCAAGCGUUAUCCGGAAUCAUUGGGUUUAAAGGGUCCGUAGGCGGUUUUGUAAGUCAGUGGUGAAAGCCCAUCGCUCAACGGUGGAACGGCCAUUGAUACUGCAAGACUUGAAUUACUAGGAAGUAACUAGAAUAUGUAGUGUAGCGGUGAAAUGCUUAGAUAUUACAUGGAAUACCAAUUGCGAAGGCAGGUUACUACUAGUUAAUUGACGCUGAUGGACGAAAGCGUGG
rnacentral:rRNA from 1 species